rnacentral:rRNA from 1 species
UACGUAGGGGGGCAAGCGUUGUUCGGAAUUACUGGGCGUAAAGCGUGCGCAGGCGGUGAUGUAAGACCGAUGUGAAAUCCCCGGGCUUAACCUGGGAACUGCAUUGGUGACUGCAUUGCUGGAGUAUGGCAGAGGGGGGUGGAAUUCCAGCGUGUAGCGGUGAAAUGCGUAGAGAUGUGGAGGAACACCGAUGGCGAAGGCAGCCCCCUGGGCCAAUACUGACGCCUCAUGCACGAAAGCGUGGGGAGCAAACAGG